AUACAACUCAAUACAUUUUCAAUACUCAUCAAUUCUUAAUUCAACACAUUUGAAACAAACAUCAAAUUUAUUUCAUUUAAUUUGAAUUACAUAUAAAAGUCUUAGUUCAAAGGAAAGAAAAUUAGAAAUAAUAUUAUUACAAAUUUUACUGUACAACUGCUCAAUUAGUGCAAUAGAUAUAUAUGAUAUUUACAUCAAACUAAAUUAUAAGGGUAUAAAAAAUAUACCCGUACAAAAUUCUCAACUGUGCUCCUGUCACUGUAGCAGCUCACUCUGCUACUUUGUCCUUUCCCUUUUUUGCGACAACAAAUAAAAGCUAUCG
rnacentral:misc_RNA from 1 species